rnacentral:rRNA from 1 species
UUAAAGGCAUACCGAGGGUUUAACUGACCCCUUUUUCUUGUCAAUGAAAUUGAUCUCCCCGUGCAUAAGCGGGGAUAAUAACAUAAGACGAGAAGACCCUAUGGAGCUUUAGACACCAAGCAGCCCAUGUCAAAACCACCCCCACACGGAAAUAAACUAAAUGGACCCUGCCCUAUUGUCUUUGGUUGGGGCGACCACGGGGAAACACAAAACCCCCACGCGGAAUGGGAGCACACCUCCUAAAACCAAGAGCCACAGCUCUAAUUAACAGAAUUUCUGACCACUAUGAUCCGGCAAUGCCGAUCAACGGACCGAGUUACCCUAGGGAUAACAGCGCAAUCCUCUUUUAGAGCCCAUAUCGACAAGAGGGUUUACGACCUCGAUGUUGGAUCAGGACAUCCUAAUGGUGCAGCCGCUAUUAAGGGUUCGUUUGUUCAACGAUUAAAGUCCUACGUGAUCUGAGUUCAAACCGGAG